GACGAACGCUGGCGGCGUGCUUAACACAUGCAAGUCGAACGGAAAGGCCCCUUUGGGGGUACUCGAGUGGCGAACGGGUGAGUAACACGUGAGUAACCUGCCCUUGACUUCGGGAUAACUUCAGGAAACUGGGGCUAAUACCGGAUAGGAAUCCUUGCUGCAUGGUGGGGGUUGGAAAGCUUCGGCGGGUUUGGAUGGACUCGCGGCUUAUCAGCUUGUUGGUGGGGUAGUGGCUUACCAAGGCUUUGACGGGUAGCCGGCCUGCGGGGGCGACCGGCCACAUUGGGACCGAGAAACGGCCCAGACUCCUACGGGGGGCAGGGGGGGGGAAGAUUGCACAAUGGGCGGAAGCCUGAUGCAGCAACGCCGCGGGCGGGAGGACGGCCUUCGGGUUGGAAACCGCUUUCAGCAGGGGCGAAGCUUGUGGUGACGGUACCUGCAGAAGAAGCACCGGCUAACUACGUG
rnacentral:rRNA from 1 species